rnacentral:rRNA from 1 species
UUGAACGCUGGCGGCAGGCCUAACACAUGCAAGUCGCGCGGAUGAAGGGAGCUUGCUCCUGGAUUCAGCGGCGGACGGGUGAGUAAUGCCUAGGAAUCUGCCUGGUAGUGGGGGAUAACGUCCGGAAACGGGCGCUAAUACCGCAUACGUCCUGAGGGAGAAAGUGGGGGAUCUUCGGACCUCACGCUAUCAGAUGAGCCUAGGUCGGAUUAGCUAGUUGGUGGGGUAAAGGCCUACCAAGGCGACGAUCCGUAACUGGUCUGAGAGGAUGAUCAGUCACACUGGAGCUGAGACACGGUCCAGACUCCUACGGGAGGCAGCAGUGGGGAAUAUUGGACAAUGGGCGAAAGCCUGAUCCAGCCAUGCCGCGUGUGUGAAGAAGGUCUUCGGAUUGUAAAGCACUUUAAGUUGGGAGGAAGGGCAGUAAGUUAAUACCUUGCUGUUUUGACGUUACCAACAGAAUAAGCACCGGCUAACUUCGUG